AUACGUAGGGGGCGAGCGUUGUCCGGAAUGAUUGGGCGUAAAGGGCGCGUAGGCGGCCCGGUAAGUCUGGAGUGAAAGUCCUGUUUUUAAGAUGGGAAUUGCUUUGGAUACUGUCGGGCUUGAGUGCAGGAGAGGUAAGUGGAAUUCCCAGUGUAGCGGUGAAAUGCGUAGAGAUUGGGAGGAACACCAGUGGCGAAGGCGACUUACUGGACUGUAACUGACGCUGAGGCGCGAAAGUGUGGGGAGCAAACAGGAUUAGAUACCCUGGUAGUCCACACUGUAAACGAUGAAUGCUAGGUGCAGGGGGUAUCGACCCCUUCUGUGCCGCAGUCAACACAAUAAGCAUUCCGCCUGGGGAGUACGGCCGCAAGGUUGAAACUCAAAGGAAUUGACGGGG
rnacentral:rRNA from 1 species